CAGAAACUAGCAUCGUAAAUGAACGUUCGACUUCACUACAAAAAGUCAAUUAUUAUUACUUGAGCUUAAACCUUGAAGAAGAAGACAAAGUAUUUUGUAUUUUGAAGUAUGGGGUUUCAAGAAGACUUUGCUCGCUCAUCGGAAAGCUCCGUGGUUUGAAACAUGGGAUAUUGAACAGGCCACGUCAUGUACCUCACAAUGACGUCGCACAGCUCACGUGUCACGUGGGCAGACAGGAAUAGGCGGGAAACAAUAGCCUUGAGUGGUGACGAUGAGGGACCUAUGACCUUGAAGAGGUUGUUACGGAUUCUGGGCAUUGGCUGUCUGCUACUUUUUGCGAUUGUGCUGAAAGGCUGUGUCUAUAUAUGUGA